rnacentral:rRNA from 1 species
CCCUUAGAUGUCCGGGGCCGCACGCGCGCUACACUGAAGGAAUCAGCGUGGCUUUCUCCCUGACCCGAAAGGGUUGGGAAACCCGUUGAAUCUCCUUCGUGAUAGGGAUUGGGGCUUGAAAUUGUUCCCCAUGAACGAGGAAUUCCCAGUAAGCGCGAGUCAUAAGCUCGCGUUGAUUACGUCCCUGCCCUUUGUACACACCGCCCGUCGCUACUACCGAUUGAACGGUUUAGUGAGGGCCUCGGAUUGGUCUCGGCCCGCUCUUUACCGGGCGGCGCCGUUGGUCGAGAAGACGCUCGAACUUGAUCGUUUAGAGGAAGCAAAAGUCGUAACA